rnacentral:lncRNA from 13 species
GGCUUUAGGCAGUCACAGGGUUUCACUGUGGAAGCAGUGAUGCUACUGAAAACUGUGCUGAAUCCUGGGAUGUCUUGGCCUCUAAAGGCCUUACUGGGCCACUUUUUCUGCUGACUCUAAUGCCCUGACUCCUGCUGAUACAACUUCACUUUAUAUCCAGGUCAGUAUUUUAAAGCAAAAUUAUCUAAUGCUAUUUCUCUGAAGUGUUUCACUAUUGGCAUUUGCAUGUCCAGUCAAUUAUCUCUGGUUUUGUAUUUUUUCACUUCUCGGAAUCUCUGGUUAUUCUUCCCAGCUGUCAGGACCUUGAGUGUCACCAAUCUGUUUGACAUUUCUUGAACUUCAGAGACCAGAAUGCAGAAUUCCUACCUCAUUUCAACCAGUGUGAAGACUCUUCCUGCUUUCCCUUCACCUUUUGCCAUGAAUGUAAAUUUCCUAAGUCCUCCCAGUCAUGCUUCCUGUUAAACCCGUGGAACGAGACAGUGUCUUGCCAUGUUGUCCAGGCUACCCUUGAAAUUCUGACAUCAAUUACUCUUCCCACCUUGGCCUCCCAAAGCACUGGGAUUACAGACAUUAGCCAUCAUGCCCCACCAUGCUGCUGCAGUGCAGGAGUGCUAUCUCAGCUCACUGCCACCUCCGCCUCCUGGGUUAAAGUGAUUCUCUUUCUUCAGCCUCCUAAGUAGCUCGGACUACAAGCACCCACCAACCAUGCCUGGCUAAUGUUUUUGUAUUUUUAGUGGAGAUGGGGUUUCACCACAUUUGCCAGGCUGGUCUUGAAAGCCUGAUGACUGCCAUAUGAUUCAGCUAGUGGGUAUGUAUCCACAUAAAUAAAAUUGCUAUAUUGAUAAAAUAUCUGUACUCC